GACGUAGGUGGCGAACGUUAUCCGGAAUUAUUGGGCGUAAAGGGUGCGUAGGCGGCAUGAUAAGUUAUUGGCGGCAAAUCGAGGCUCAACCUCGUGGAAACUGAUAAUACUGUCUUGCUUGAGUGCAGAAGAGGUUAACGGAACUCCAUGUGGAGCGGUAAAAUGUGUAGAUAUAUGGAAGAACAUCAAUAACGGCGAAGGCAGUUAACUAUUCUGUUACUGACGUUUGAGGCACGAAAGC
rnacentral:rRNA from 1 species